ACGGCAGCACGGAGCUCGCUCUGGUGGCGAGUGGCGAACGGGUGAGUAAUAUAUCGGAACGUACCCUGGAGUGGGGGAUAACGUAGCGAAAGUUACGCUGAUACCGCAUACGAUCUAAGGAUGAAAGUGGGGGAUUCGCAAGAACCUCAUGCUCGUGGAGCGGCCGAUAUCUGAUUAGCUAGUUGGUAGGGUAAAAGCCUACCAAGGCAUCGAUCAGUAGCUGGUCUGAGAGGACGACCAGCCACACUGGAACUGAGACACGGUCCAGACUCCUACGGGAGGCAGCAGUGGGGAAUUUUGGACAAUGGGCGCAAGCCUGAUCCAGCAAUGCCGCGUGAGUGAAGAAGGCCUUCGGGUUGUAAAGCUCUUUUGUCAGGGAAGAAACGGUGAGGGCUAAUAUCCCUUGCUAAUGACGGUACCUGAAGAAUAAGCACCGGCUAACUACGUGCCAGCAGCCGCGGUAAUACGUAGGGUGCAAGCGUUAAUCGGAAUUACUGGGCGUAAAGCGUGCGCAGGCGGUUUUGUAAGUCUGAUGUGAAAUCCCCGGGCUCAACCUGGGAAUUGCAUUGGAGACUGCAAGGCUAGAAUCUGGCAGAGGGGGGUAGAAUUCCACGUGUAGCAGUGAAAUGCGUAGAUAUGUGGAGGAACACCGAUGGCGAACGCAGCCCCCUGGGUCAAGAUUGACGCUCAUGCACGAAGCGUGGGGA
rnacentral:rRNA from 1 species